GGGAUUACAGGUGUGAGCCACUGCGACCAGCCCUGUUGGCGUCUUUGAUCCUGGGCUGAGGAGCUGAGAAGUUUCUAUGGCCUGAGGGUCACACACACCUGCCCACACACCUGGCCUUCACCCUUCCUGCUAGGGGGUAUGUCCUCUGCCAGGAGCUGUUGCUCGUAUGGGGGGACCAGGGGCCUUUGCCUUGAUCAGAUGGAGACCUGGAUGGCCACAAAACAGAACACACCCACCUACAAAGCACAUGGCCCAGAGAUGUCCUCGUCUCCUGGCUGCUGGCUGACCAGCUAAGUCCUGGCACUGCAGGGCCUGCCCAGGCCGAAUUGGGGCUGAGCCAGACUCCCUGCAGUGGGGCCCGGUGGCACUGGGACCUCUCACAGCCUCUUUUCUGUCUUGCAGGAAAUGGCUAAUUCUGUCUACCUGGUUAUGGAGUACUGCAACGGUGGGGACCUGGCCGACUACCUGCACGCCAUGCGCACGCUGAGCGAGGACACCAUCAGGCUCUUCCUGCAGCAGAUCGCGGGCGCCAUGCGGCUUCUGCACAGCAAAGGCAUCAUCCACCGCGACCUGAAGCCGCAGAACAUCCUGCUGUCCAACCCCGCCGGCCGCCGCGCCAACCCCAACAGCAUCCGCGUCAAGAUCGGUCAGCCCGCGGGCAGGCAGGCGGGCCCGGCGGGGAGGGGCUCCGGGGCCGGCGCCGGUCCUGACGCGUCUCUCCCGCAGCUGACUUCGGCUUCGCGCGGUACCUCCAGAGCAACAUGAUGGCGGCCACACUCUGCGGCUCCCCCAUGUACAUGGCCCCCGAGGUCAUCAUGUCCCAGCACUACGACGGGAAGGCGGACCUGUGGAGCAUCGGCACCAUCGUCUACCAGUGCCUGACGGGGAAGGCGCCCUUCCAGGCCAGCAGCCCCCAGGACCUGCGCCUGUUCUACGAGAAGAACAAGACGUUGGUCCCCACCAUCCCCCGGGAGACCUCGGCCCCGCUGCGGCAGCUGCUCCUGGCCCUACUGCAACGCAACCACAAGGACCGCAUGGA
rnacentral:sRNA from 1 species